GAUGAAGAACGUAGCGAAAUGCGAUAAGUAAUGUGAAUUGCAGAAUUCAGUGAAUCAUCGAAUCUUUGAACGCACCUUGCGCCCCUUGGUAUUCCGAGGGGCAUGCCUGUUCGAGCGUCAUUAUAACCCCUCAAGCUCAGCUUGGUGUUGGGGCCUGCUGCACUGGCAGCCCUUAAAAUCAGUGGCGGCGCCAUCUGGCUCUAAGCGUAGUAAUUCUUCUCGCUAUGGAGUCCUGGUGGAUGCUUGCCAUCAACCCCCAAUUUUUCUAUGGUUGACCUCGGAUCAGGUAGGGAUACCCGCUGAACUUAAGCAUACAAUAAGCGGAGGA
rnacentral:misc_RNA from 1 species